rnacentral:lncRNA from 10 species
GCCCUUUCUGCUUUUGCACGUUUGUUAAUUUCCUCCAGCUUAACAUACUGAAUAUGUCAAAGUGUCAUAUUUUGGAGUAAUGUUUCCUGCUCAUCAUCACCAUGGUCUUCCCACUUUUCAGAUGCUUUGCAGACAUUGCUGACCAACUUCUAACAUUGGUUCCCCGAAUUCUGGAAGGACGGCAUGCAGCCUAGGUGUCUGUGUCUCUCACAGUCACAGAUUUGUCAGCUUUCAAGAUCCCAAUUCAUGCGAAUCUAACCCAUUCCUUGGCUGACUAAGUCAUGGGUUUGACACUGGGGAGAUAAAGCAAUUCUGGGGGGGAGAUGAGUUUCUGAAUUUGUUUUAAAUGUAGGAUUUGUAUCAAAUUGUAUUGCUGAUUAAAGGAAAUUUAUAGUUCUUGUUCACAUAUUCAGUCUACUUGGUUUGAAACUAUUUUGAUGUUUUCACUCUUCAGAUAUUAAGGAAAGGACAGA